rnacentral:misc_RNA from 1 species
AAGUCGUAACAAGGUAACCGUAGGUGAACCUGCGGUUGGAUCAUUAAAAAUAUUAGAAGGCUCUUUAUUAAAAAGGUGACCUUUCUAAACAAACUGUGAACCUUAAAUAACUGUUUUAUGUGUGUAAAAACAUGUAUAUUCAGUCUAUUUUUAACGUAUUGUUUAUUUAAUUAUGCCUAAUAUCUUGUUUUAAAAAGAAAUAACAACUUUUGACAACGGAUCUCUAGGCUCUC